GGAGUUAGCCGGUGCUUCUUCUGUGAGUGAUGUCCUUCCUGCCGGCUAUUAACCCGCAGGCCUUCUUCCUCACUGAAAGUGCUUUACAACCCGAAGGCCUUCUUCACACACGCGGCAUGGCUGGAUCAGGGUUGCCCCCCAUUGUCCAAUAUUCCCCACUGCUGCCUCCCGUAGGAGUCUGGGCCGUGUCUCAGUCCCAGUGUGGCUGAUCAUCCUCUCAGACCAGCUACGGAUCGUCGCCUUGGUGAGCCGUUACCUCACCAACCAGCUAAUCCGACAUAGGCUCAUCCGAUAGCGCGAGGCCCGAAGGUCCCCCGNUUUCCCCCGUAGGGCCGUAUGCGGUAUUAGCCUGGGUUUCCCCAGGUUAUCCCCCACUACCGGGCAGAUUCCCUAUGCAUUACUCACCCGUCCGCCGCUCGCCACCAGGAGCAAGCUCCCCGUGCUGCCGCUCGACUUGCAUCGUGUUAGGCCUGCCGCCAGCGUUCAAUCUGACGACGAUCGAAUUCAAGCUGA
rnacentral:rRNA from 1 species